rnacentral:rRNA from 1 species
UGGGGAAUAUUGGACAAUGGGCGAAAGCCUGAUCCAGCCAUGCCGCGUGUGUGAAGAAGGUCUUCGGAUUGUAAAGCACUUUAAGUUGGGAGGAAGGGCAGUAAGCGAAUACCUUGCUGUUUUGACGUUACCGACAGAAUAAGCACCGGCUAACUCUGUGCCAGCAGCCGCGGUAAUACAGAGGGUGCAAGCGUUAAUCGGAAUUACUGGGCGUAAAGCGCGCGUAGGUGGUUCGUUAAGUUGAAUGUGAAAGCCCCGGGCUCAACCUGGGAACUGCAUCCAAAACUGGCGAGCUAGAGUAGGGCAGAGGGUGGUGGAAUUUCCUGUGUAGCGGUGAAAUGCGUAGGUAUAGGAGGGAACACCAGUGGCGAAGGCGACCACCUGGGCUCAUACUGACACUGAGGUGCGAAAGCGUGGGGAGCAAACAGG